rnacentral:rRNA from 1 species
UCCGUGUCGUGAGAUGUUGGGUUAAGUCCCGCAACGAGCGCAACCCUUGUCACUAGUUGCCAUCAUUUAGUUGGGCACUCUAGUGAGACUGCCGGUGACAAACCGGAGGAAGGUGGGGAUGACGUCAAGUCCUCAUGGCCCUUAUGGGUAGGGCUUCACACGUCAUACAAUGGUCGGUACAGAGGGUUGCCAAGCCGCGAGGUGGAGCCAAUCCCUUAAAGCCGAUCGUAGUCCGGAUCGUAGUCUGCAACUCGACUACGUGAAGUCGGAAUCGCUAGUAAUCGUGGAUCAGCAUGCCACGGUGAAUACGUUCCCGGGCCUU